AACUUUGCGCAGUGGCAGUGUUGGUGCCAAUGAGGUUUACAUGAAGCACCACUAUUGCUGGUUGAAAACUUUUCUCAUUGAAAUAGUCCGGUUAUUAAUUCAUAUGUAGAAUUUGUAAAAUUAAAUUAAAAGUUUCUGUAAUUGAUCCAGGUUU
ensembl:snRNA U4 U4 spliceosomal RNA